AGUGAACGCUGGCGGUAGGCCUAACACAUGCAAGUCGAACGGCAGCACAGUAAGAGCUUGCUCUUACGGGUGGCGAGUGGCGGACGGGUGAGGAAUACAUCGGAAUCUACUUUUUCGUGGGGGAUAACGUAGGGAAACUUACGCUAAUACCGCAUACGAUCUACGGGUGAAAGCAGGGGAUCUUCGGACCUUGCGCGAUUGAAUGAGCCGAUGUCGGAUUAGCUAGUUGGCGGGGUAAAGGCCCACCAAGGCGACGAUCCGUAGCUGGUCUGAGAAGAUGAUCAGCCCAAAUGGAAAUGAGAAACGGGCCAGACUCCUACGGGAGGCAGCAGUGGGGAAUAUUGGACAAUGGGCGCAAGCCUGAUCCAGCCAUACCGCGUGGGUGAAGAAGGCCUUCGGGUUGUAAAGCCCUUUUGUUGGGAAAGAAAAGCAGCAGGUUAAUACCCCGCUGUUCUGACGGUACCCAAAGAAUAAGCACCGGCUAACUUCGUG
rnacentral:rRNA from 1 species